ACCUUCGUGGUGUAACUGUUAGCAAACUCGACUUGUAAUCGAGAGGUCCAGGUUCCAGUCCCGGCGAGGGCA
rnacentral:tRNA from 1 species